GCCUUCGUCGUGUAGUGGUCAGCGUGCUGGGCUCGUAUUCCAGAGGUCCGUAGUUCGAGUCCCGGCGCAGACG
rnacentral:tRNA from 1 species